UACGGGGGGGGGCAAGCGUUGUUCGGAAUUACUGGGCGUAAAGGGUGCGUAGGCGGCUUUCUAAGUUGGAUGUGAAAACUAUGGGCUCAACCCAUAGCCUGCAUCCAAAACUGGAGAGCUUGGGUUCUGGAGGGGAAAGCGGAAUUCCUGGUGUAGCGGUGGAAAUGACGUAGAUAUCAGGAGGAACACCGGUGGCGAAGGCGGCUUUCUGGACAGAUACCGACGCUGAGGCACGAAAGCGUGGGGAGCAAACAGG
rnacentral:rRNA from 1 species